AUUCUGGUUGAUCCUGCCAGUAGUUAUAUGCUUGUCUCAAAGAUUAAGCCAUGCAUGUCUAAGUACAAACUAUCUUAUAGUGAAACCGCAAAAGGCUCAGUAUAACAGCUAUUAUUUAUUUGAUUGUUAACCCA
rnacentral:ncRNA from 1 species